AAACCUGUUCGAGUAAAAACGCUAUUAAGGCCAGCGUUUUUAGGCCCAAAUGGGCUGACAUGUAAAACGCUGUUGGGAGCAACGUUUUCACAAUAGGCUGAUUUAUCACAACUUCCUUAUUUCCCCAAUUCCCCCAUUUCAAUUAAACCCUAAUUUUCGAAUCUCCUUCUUCCUCUCCUUCUAAUCUCCUUGUAUGCCUUCUCCAUUGUAGUGUUUAUUUUUUUUGAUUUUACUCUUUUUUAGUCUUUAUUAUUCAAUUUUGUGGUAAAGGGUAUGUGAAUUUUUCAAUUUUGUUCAUCUUCUUCCUGAUUAUUCAAUUAUGAUCAUGAUUAGGGUUUUAUAUCUUUUUAGUAAUAUAGGUUUUUACUAUGUAGAACUAGUAAUUCCUUACUCUUUACUUUAUUACUUGGCUUAUUUGAGUUAAGUUUAUUGAAUUUUAUAUUAUUAUUAUAAAUGUUUGAUGAAUUACAUCCAAUUUUACAUAUUUUUAUCAUUACUAUCAGUAACAAUAUUAUUAUUUUGUUGAAUGAUUCCAAUUGCUUGAUUAUUAUUUGAAUAUUUAACUAUUUGUACUUUAAAUUUGCCGAAUUUGAGAUUAAUUGGACAUUGAAUUGUGGGUGACUCGUGAUCUGUGAAUUCAAUUGUAAAAUUUGUGACUGUUGAAUUGGAUAUGCUGGUUGUUGUAAGUGGACAUUGAAUGUUUGAUGUUGAUUACUUAGGGAUAUAGAUUGAUGUUUAAUUGAAUGAAUGACUUGUUGAAUUUGUUAAAUAGUUUGGAUAUAUGUUGAUAUUAAUUAUUUGGGAUAUAAUGAGUGAAUGUUGAAGUUGAUUACUUGGGAUAUGUACUUGAUGUUGAAUGAAUAUAGUAAAUUAUUGAAUGCUGAAUGUUGAAUUGAAUUAUCAUGAUGAAAAGUAAACACAUUAAACAAACAAGAUGAAGAAUCCUGGUCCUCUAGAUCCUUCCUUGUUAGUUUCACGACCUACCCAUCGUUCACAUUUCAUAUGAACCGGAUAACUAGAGUCCGACACAUUGUUUCAGACUCGACACCACCCUUCGGUAGUAAUGAGAUAGCCCGUAGAUGAUAGGGUUUUGAGAUACGUGCAUGAAGUGGGUUUAUAUGGUAUUCAACGAGUAGGUCAAAUACCAUUAGGUUGCGGGAUGAUUACGGCUUUAGUUGAGCAAUAAAGACUUGAGACGCACACCUUUCAUCUAUCGCUAGGUGAAGCGACCAUCACACUACGUGAUGUUGCUAUACCUACCGACUUACUGGUGAGUGGGAGGGCAGUCACCGGUCCUAAUCCGAGCCAUACAAAAGAGCAGAUACAUAGGAUGUUUGGGGUCCCACUGCCUGACGAAGCGAUGAUUGAGUCUUCAGUGAAGACGACAUGGAUGCUUAACACCUUUGGGCAUUUACCGGGCCCCGACGCUGAGGAUGCAGUUGUAGAUCAUUAUGCUCGCAUUUACUGCUAGGUACUUAUUUCCGGCUAUUUGUUUGUAGACAAAUCCAAAAACGAGAUGCAAGGGAUCUAUUUAGAGCUCCUUGACCAAGAUUGGGUUGAUAUCGCGUCCUACAAUUGGGCCAGUGCCCCACUUGCUUUCCUCUACAGAAAUUUGUGUCAAGCCGCCUUGAUCAAGAAAGGGAAACCAACAAGUGACAUUGCGGGUCCAUUGGUUAAUCUACAGUUGUGGAUAUGGAAGCAUAUUACGUUUUGCACUCCUGCUGUCUCAACGCGAUUACGCGACGACGUAGGGGAGAAGACGGGCAGCCUAUUAUCCUCCAUGUUAAGCCGGAGGAUCCCACGGAGGAUGAGCCAUAUGGAUCGAGAUGGCUCGUGCCUCGAUUGACGCAUUUGAACACCUCACGAGUUGUACAUGUCUUUUGCGAUUCACUUGAUCGCAUGGCCAGUGUACAGGUAUUUUGAUUGUUUUUCAGUUCAAUACCACUACCCUGAACGAGUCACGCGUCAAUACGGUUUGCGGCAGACGAGGCCUGAUCCACCAGAAGAACACCGCAUGCUCCACGACGUGGAUCGUAGGGGAAAGCCACGGUGAAUUGGGCUGCGUAUCACUGGGGAUACAUCGAGGGGUGGGAUGGACGUGAGAUUACGUAGUUCAGGGGGACGAGAUUGGUGAACCGAUGGAUUUCCAUGAUAACUAUCUCGGUAUCGUGGAAUCACCAGACGGUUCAUCAGCCGAGGAUAUGAUCCAGAGCGGCCACUCCCUCUGAACUACAUACCCUCUGGCGUGCCAUUACAUGUCCUGACGCAACACGUGCUGAGCAUUUGUGACUACAUGCACUCGCAGCGACAUGUAUGUCAUGAACAGUCAAACGAAGUGGUCAGGAGGUGCGAUAGUGUAAUGGUAGGCCUUGGAUAUGAGCAUCUGCUUCAACCAUUAUCGCAAGACGAUGUUCCUAGUUCAACAACACAAGAAGAUGCUCUAGAGAUGUCAACCGAUCAUCAAUCGCCAUAUACACUCAGUGUACAUCCGACGAUUCCUGGGCCCUCUUAGGGCGAGUGUUCUUAUGUAUCUCCUGUUCAUCCCACUAACUUUAGGCUUCAUCAACAAUAAGAUAGUGAGGGUACACCUUUAAUUUAUCCUAGUCUAGACAUUAUUUAUGAGGGCGUUACACCUACUGUUGAUUCUUAGAUUAUGUAUAUAUAUGUGUAUAUGUAACGUUAUUUGCAUUGUAUAACUUUACGCUUCGAGAUAAUUGUAUAUAUUUGUAUAUUUAAUGUUAUUUUUUUGUUUAUAUUGGGUGAUUGAA